rnacentral:tRNA from 1 species
GUCGGGGUAGCUCAGCUGGUUAGAGCAUUGGAUUCAUAACCCAAAGGUCGGCGGUUCAAGUCCGCUCCCCGAUA